GAUCCGGUUAAAAUUCCGGAA
rnacentral:snRNA from 1 species